GACGUAGGGCGCGAGCGUUGUCCGGAAUCACUGGGCGUAAAGGGCGCGUAGGCGGCUUGAUAAGGUUGCGGUGAAAGCCCGGGGCUCAACCCCGGGUCGGCCGUGGCAACUGUCGAGCUGGAGCACUGUAGAGGCAGGUGGAAUUCCGGGUGUAGCGGUGGAAUGCGUAGAGAUCCGGAAGAACACCGGUGGCGAAGGCGGCCUGCUGGGCAGUGGCUGACGCUGAGGCGCGACAGCGUGGGGAGCAAACAGG
rnacentral:rRNA from 1 species